GGCCGACUAGCUCAGCUGGUUAGAGCGUCGUGCUAAUAUAGGCAUCUUGACCCUUGUCCAAAAUGGCCCGGGUGGUGUAAUCUAUGUUUACGCGAAGGUCUUGGGUUCGAUCCCCACGUUGGCCA